rnacentral:rRNA from 1 species
GAUGAACGCUGGCGGCGUGCCUAAUACAUGCAAGUCGAGCGAACAGAUGAGGAGCUUGCUCCUCUGACGUUAGCGGCGGACGGGUGAGUAACACGUGGAUAACCUACCUAUAAGACUGGGAUAACUUCGGGAAACCGGAGCUAAUACCGGAUAAUUUAUUGAACCGCAUGGUUCAAUAGUGAAAGACGGUUUUGCGGUCACUUAUAGAUGGAUCCGCGCCGAAUUAGCUAGUUGGUAAGGUAACGGCUUACCAAGGCAACGAUGCGUAGCCGACCUGAGAGGGUGAUCGGCCACACUGGAACUGAGACACGGUCCAGACUCCUACGGGAGGCAGCAGUAGGGAAUCUUCCGCCCUGGGCGCCCGCCUGCCGGCGCCCCGCCGCGUGAGUGAUGAAGGUCUUCGGAUCGUAAAACUCUGUUAUUAGGGAAGAACAAAUGUGUCAGUAACUAUGCCCGUCUUGACGGUCCCUCAUCAGAAAGCCACGGCUCCCUACGUG